rnacentral:rRNA from 1 species
GUGCCAACCGCCGCGGUAAUACCGGCAGCCCGAGUGAUGGCCGAUCUUAUUGGGCCUAAAGCGUCCGUAGCUGGCUGCGCAAGUCCGUCGGGAAAUCCACCCGCCCAACGGGUGGGCGUCCGGUGGAAACUGCGUGGCUUGGGACCGGAAGGCGCGACGGGUACGUCCGGGGUAGGAGUGAAAUCCCGUAAUCCCGGACGGACUACCGAUGGCGAAAGCACUCUGAGAAGACGGCUUCGACAGUGAGGGACGAAAGCUCGGGUCUCAAACCGGAUUAGAAACCCUGGUAGUCC